UAAUAAAUCUACAAAUCUUCAUUCAAAUUUAGCCAACUGCUCACCAGUGUUUUUUUUUUUCGUGUCCAGAAACCCAUCCAGGAUCCUACUGAAUUUAUUUGUCAUAUCUGCUUCACCUCUUCCAGUCUAGAUAUAGCAUAUUUUUAAAGCGAAACAUUUUUCUUAUUUUGAUAUAGUUACCACAGAGCCAUUUACUUUAGUAUUUUGCGUGUGCAUUUUGAAUUGAAAAAUUACAUUACCAUGUGGUGCCAGGAGGAUUAUAUUGUUGAUUUGCUCUUGCUGAUUUGCUUUAACAGUCAUUUGCAUGGGGACUAAAUGUACACUUCAGAAGAGAAAGUCUAGAAAAUAAAGCUUCAGAUGAGUAGCGCAUGGAUUAGUGAAGGAUUUCUCCAUCUCAUCCUGGGUAAUGCUAGAUUUCUCCUAUGGAGGAUUUUCCUGCCCACAACACACACACUCAUCAUACCAUAGAGGGUCAAUUUUGAAUGUUCCAGAUGGAUGCACUCAAGUUGUAUGCUCAAAUAAUGAUAAUUAGCUACAUUGAUAUGGCAUUAUUUAUUAGAGGAUUCCAAUGCAGAAUAGAAUACUGGGCAGUUCCUGGAACUUCAGUCUUCUCGCACUCCCCCAGAAGGAGGCAGCUGGUGGCAGGGGGAGCCAUGUGCCAAAGGCCAUGUGGGAAGACAGCGGACAAUGCAGUGAGGGAUCUCCAUGCAGCCUCCGUGCCUCUAUGCCCUGCUGCCUGUCUGUUCAUGGAAUUAGGACAAUGUAUGACUUUGGCAAACAGAUGUAAAUAUCAUGCCAAUAUUUUGGAUCAAUACCUGGGAACAUUUCCCUACAGCAUAUGUCUUAUUGACUCAAUUACUGUUUGUUGUUUUGAUAAAUUGAGCCCUGAGUGCCCUGAAAGGGAAGUCAAAUGAAUCAAAAUGCCCACAUUUCUAGACUUUGAUGUAUAUCUCCAUCUCUACUGUGUAGUCCAUAGCAAAUCCCCCAGCUGUUGCCUGCACAGCACUGUGGCCACUGUGCACAGGGAGGCAGGGCUGAGUGGAGCCCUGGCUGGACCAGCACUAGUGGAGAAACACACCACACCAUGAGUGGACCACGCUCUGUGUGUACUAUCAUGACCAGCCCCAUCCCAGAAGAAGGCAGUUCACCCCCACUCAAACUUUUCAAUAACCUUUUCUUUCCACUGGUGGUUCUGUACUAAAUUUCUAUUGAAAGGCUGUUUGUAUAUCAGUGGCAGUGUUACUCUUUUUUUUCUUUUUUUUUUUUGAGACAGAGUCUCGCUCCGUCGCCCAGGCUAGAGUGCAGUGGCAUGAUCUCGGCUCACUGCGACCUCCACCUUUCAGAUUCAAGCGAUUCUCCUGUCUCAGCCUCCCGAGUAGCUGGGACAAGAAGUGCCUGCCACCACGCCAGGCUAAUUUUUUGUAUUUUCAGUAGGGACUGGGUUUCACCGUGUUAGCCAGGAUGGUCUCGAUCUCCUGACCUCAUGAUCCACCUGCCUCGGCCUCCCAAAGUGCUGGGAUUACAGGUGUGAGUCACCGUGCCCAGCCAGCAAUGUUACUGUUUAGGCAAAUGAUAGGUAUCUACCUGCCUUUAGAAUUCACUCUACCUGUAAAGUAGUAGGGUAUCCAAACACAUGGGAAAAAACAACAUCACUUGAACGUAUUCAUUUCCCUCUACAUCAGUGUAAAAACAAACAACAACCAUUCCUGCUGCUGACACUAAACUGUGGACUUGUUAACCAAAGCAGUGAGAUCUAUUGUAUAUAUUUCAAAUACUAUUAUUAUGAAGUUGAAGAGAUAAAAUCAUGACAAAUUUACUACAUGACAAAAGUAGUAAAUUUUUCUUGAAGCAAACAUAACAAAAAGUAUUAAAAAUGUGUGAUUAUUAAGAAAUUUCUUACCAUAAUGCACACCCAUUCCUCCUGUUUUAGGUUCUAAAGACAUUUUAUGAACAAUCAUGAAGUUUAUUUAAAUAUAAUCUGUGUGUAUGCUUUGCCAAGGGCAUUUGUUUUUGUCAUCAAAUAUUUAUCUUCCCAGCUUCAUGAUAUUGGAGUCUAAUUAUUAUAAAUAUUACUAAUAAAAGAUUGUCAAAAAUAAUAGCAAAUUAGUUAGCAAAGGCGUGAAAUAAGGAAUAAAAACAGAAGUUCUCCAGGAAAUUGUUUAUAUUUUUCUUUUGCUAUAAUGAACCUCUAAAUGUUUCAUCUUGUCUUUCCAUGUAUGUUUGCUGGUUUUAUUGUCUCCACUUUUCCUUACCUCUAGAGUAGCCCUGGGCAUUUACAAUCAAGAUGUACACACUAAGUACCCAUGGUGGUUCUGGGUCUUGGGGAGGCAGUUCCACCGAGCUGUAGCCUUCCUCACACCGCAAAGACUAUGCCUCCUGCAGACAGGCACAAUCUCCAGAUUAGCAAAUAUGAGCCCAGUCUUAAUUUUGAUUCUGUGAUGUGCUGUGGAUAUGAACCUUAAGGUAAAAUUGUGUUAAAUUGUUUCACAGUUGCUUAAGGCAGUCUUUUGAAUGAAAAUUAUAGACUUUUUUUUUUUAUCACAUAUUCUCACUUACAAGUGAGAGCUGAACAAUGAGAAUGCAUGGACACAUGGGGGCGUGACAACGCACACUGGGGGCUGUCGGGGGCAGUGUAGGAGAAGGGAGAGCAUCAGGAAGAAUAGCUAAUGGCUGCUGGGCUGAAUAACUAGCUGAAGGGUUGAUAUGUGCAGCAAAUCACCAUGGCACAUGUUUGCCUAUAAAACAAACCUACACAUCCUGCACGGGUACCCCGGAACUUAAAAUAAAAGUUCAAGAAAAAGAAACAGAAAAAAAAAGAAAAUUACAGAUUUUUAAAACAGAGUUGUUUACUAGUGGUGUGACAAGGAAAACCAAGGCUGCUUAGAGUAAAAAACUGUAUUCUUCUCAGGUUGUUCUGCUCGUCACGGUAGAAUGUAGUGGUGGGUUUACAGUGUAUCGAGUUUCUUUAUUAGAGUCUAAUGAUUAGAAAGCUUCAAUUAUUCUCCCUAUUAUUUCGUUGGUUUCGUGAAGACAGAGAAAAAUCAAAAUCAAAUCUGAGACAAAAUAAGUAGAUAGGAAAGUCAUGAAUUACUCUUUCUAUUUGGGAAGAGCAAAUAUGUUUUAAAGAAGAAUAUACCAGAGAUAAUGAAAGUCAAGUUUAAAAUCCUAACAAGUUUUAUUUCGAAACAAUCAUGAACUUGUACACGCCAAUGGAAAUGAAAUCUCCAAAGCAGCCUUUUAAAUAUUAGAUCUGGCUCCUGGCUACUAACUUAUAUUCACUCCCUCUGCCUUGUGGUGAUGAAGCUCAGAUAAACACAGUGGCUGUAAGCCAGUUCUGUAGAGCUAAUUAAAUCAGUAAACCUUGACUAGGUGCUUUCUUUAUAUAAGAAUCCCUGUCUACGGAUACAAAAAUUAAGACAUACUCCUAGUUCUCAAGUCUCUCAGUGCGCAGGUGGGAAGACAGAGAUACCAAAGCACUACUACAUUCAAUAUAGUGGGUAUAACUCAUGCUUAAGACAUACUGGAAAUACAGAGUAGACCCAAACUCUGCCUUUGGGAUGAGGGAAAAGAAGUUUCAUGGAAGGCUAGGAGGCCGAUGUAAGGCAUUCCGUAUUUGGGGAAUGGGAGGAUUAUCUGUAAAGGGGACAGCAGGACCAAAGAAGAAGCUAAGAAACAAUAUGGUGUUUGCAGAGAAUACCAGGCAAUUAAUUCUAUGAUGCUGUUAGGUAGGUAGGUAGGUAGGUAGGUAGGUAGAUAGACAGACAGACAGACAGACAGACAGAUAUAGAUGAAGCUGGAGUGUUGGUUCAGGUCCCACAGACUAUGGGAACGAACCUUGAUUUAUCUGAAACCAGGAAGCCGCUGUACACUGUAAGCAUGGUCACGUGAGAGAGGCUGGAUGAGGAAAUGAGAGUAGGGUUGGAGAGCAGGGUACAGAUAUAAGAUCUAUUGGGGGUGGGGCUUGAUGAUGAGUUCAGUACUACAGUGUGAGUUUGAGAUACCCGAAGGUGAUCCAGGCAGAGAUUCCCAGCAGAUGGAUGGAUUCACACUCCUGGAACUCAGGAAAGAGCCAUCAAUUGGUACACAACUGGGCAUUAUUGUUGGUGGGAGGAAGCAUGGUGCCACUUACCCUAGAGCUCAGCUCUCUAUUUUAUCAUUCCCCGCACAUGAAAGAGAAAAAAGAAUCUCCCUUUGCUUGCACUACAAUACAACCUCCUUCUUUAGAAAGUUUCUUGCAGCUAUGAAUUGUCACUUUAGGUUGUGAAUGGGAGGACUUGUUCUGAAUAGUAGAAAUAUUCAGAGAACCUGGUGUCAUAACACACUGGCUAGGUAUGCUCAGUUGUGAUGCACAUCUUGGGCAUUUGUUACUAUAUUGAUUAUAACACUAAAGUCUCUGCUUGAUGUGCUUUUCUGUCAGACAAAAGUGUGUGGUUGCAGCUACUGUGCUGGGGAUUGGGUAAAUCUUGGUAUGGCCUCGGGAGUGCAUAACAUUUGUGAAUGUCAUCCAUGUUCACUCAUGUACGUCUCAGUACCAAGAUCAUAAAGGAAAAAUUGAGAACCACUGUUCUGGAGACAGCAAAUCAUAGCUCUCAGGUCAAAUCCGGCUGCCACUGCCUGUUCGUAUAUAGCUCACCUGUGCACCAAGAAGGGUUUUUACAGAUGAACAUUUUUUGAAAAAUUGGUGUUAGAGAACAGUAACUUUGAAUCCCAUUUAAGGGAAAUGUCAUCUACUCCUCAAAAGAAUUCCAUUCUUCUCAUUACUGGAUCUAUAAUACAAUAAUUUUAUUUAAUUACAUUAUUAUAUGUUGAAUUUCACCAAUAAAAAAUUUGUAGAAAUUUGUCUUAUCUCUUAUUAUGUAAGGAGAUACAUAAUAUUUGCAAUUUGCCUCUUGGCUUCCAAAGACUAAAAUAUUUACAAUCUGGCCCUUUAGAGGAAAAGCUUGUAAACUUCUGCUCUAGAUUAUGGUAAGGCAGCAAAAUACACAGAUAAUUUACAAUAUGCCCAGCAUUCUGCUAACUAAGAGUAAUUUUCCCAGUUUGUAUUUCAGUGCUCCCAAUACCCUGUGGGGUGAACACUAUAGUGGCCUUCAUCACAGAUGAGGAAACUAAAAUGCAGGGAUGGCCAAUUACUUGUCCAAGCCCAUGCAUUUAAUAAGUGAAAAAGCUGGGAUUUGAAACUAACUGGUCUGGCCUCAUGGCUGAUGCUCCUGUUCUUAAGCCCCCCUCGGAGUUUCUGAGGUACUAACUCCUAUCCCUCCUCAUCACGGGCACACACGCUAACCUUUAUGGAUCCUAGAGGCCUCUGUACUUUUCCUCAUUUCCUUUUCCCUUCUUACUUCUUUACACCUGUCUGCUUAUAAUGUUCACUUCUACAAUGCUUAUCUCUUAGCCAAAAGGUGACACUCAUCUCAGUUUGAGAAAAUGAUGAGAAAACACAUCUCUCUAUACUUGCAUUUUCAUUUAAUCUAAUUGAUAUGUAUUCAAAUAGUAAUAGUAUCUUGUGGUCAAAAUACAGGAAAUGUUCUCCAUUCACAUCACGUUGUCCUGCUUCUGAUCUAUGGAACCAGAAAUAUGAGGUCAGUCUCCAUUUUAUGAAACACUUUCCAACAACAUAUUGAUACUCAAUCUUUGGUUUAUGUGAUAGGGAAUUUUAGAUGUCAACUUAACUGGACUAGGAGAUACCCAGAUAAAUAGUAAAGCUUUUUUGAGUCUGUCUGUGAGACUCAAACUGUCUGUGAGACUUAGAACUCCAAACUGUAGAGCCUUCAGGCUCUGGGGCUUACACCAGCAGUCCUCUAAGUUCUCAGGCCUCCAUUCAGCCUUAGGCUAAAAGUUAUGCCAUCUGCUCCCCUGGUUCUCAGGCCUUUGACUCAGACUAAAUUACAUCACCAGUGCUCCUGGCUCUGCAGCUUGCAGAUAGCAUAUUGUGGGACUAGCCACCAUAAUUGCAGGAGCCUAUUCCCAUAAUAAAUCCCUUCUCAUAUAGCUCUAUCUGUAUGUUUUUUAUUGGUUCUUUCUCUCUGGAUAACUCUGCCCAAAACAGUUUAUAAUUGUUAUUAAUGAGGAUCAAAUUGAACAUCACGCAUUUUGUUUUCAACUCAAAAGUGAGUUCAAAUACCUUCCUCAGAAUAGAAACCUAUAAAACCAAGAUAAAAAAUAAUGCUCUGAUGUAGAGAAAGAAAAUCAUUCUAUGUAACCUAUGUAAUAUUAUGAGAUUGCUAUUAUGGAUUUCCUUUCAUCAAAGGAAUUCCUAUGGGACUUACCACAAAUUAUAUUCGAUGUAGUCUCUCAACAAAAGACCAAUAACCUGGAACUCGCCAAAAAUUUUACAGAUGCCAACGUACUUUGGUCCAAAAAGAGAGCCAAAUUUGCAGCCUGUAUCUUCUUACGUUUCAAAAAUUCUAACACACUUAUUUAUGUAAAUUGUUAAGUAACAAUAGCUGACUUUAUCACGUCUACCAUAUAUUACACAUCAUAUAAGCAGGAUCUAACUUACUGUAAAUAAAAACAGCAUCCUAUUUCAUAGAUGAUAUACACUAAGGCACAGGGGGAUUACAUGCUUUUAGUUAAGCACUUAGUUGAGUAGUAUCCACAGGUGGCAAGUGCGAAGGGCUGGGAUUUACACCUAGGAUUAUCUUAUGCUCUUAAGCACUAUACAUAUUGCCUCUCCAUUUUAAGUCCACAAGAAAUUAGAAACCAAAAUUUUGGGAGAUGGAAGGGUCGCUAGAUGUAGCCCAGUGAUAAAAAUGAAAUGUACUUGAUAGCAGUGUUAGAGCAAGAGAGAAAAAACAAAUUAAAAACAAGGACUCAAAAGUCAGAGCAAUUUGGGGCCAUUUAAGAAGGGAAAAAACUUCAAACAUCUCAAAAGCCACUGUACAUCACUGUAUAUCAGCAUAAAGCAAUAAUUAGAUUUUACACGAGGGUCAUAAAUUAUCAAGGCUCAAUUCAAUUAGCAUAAACUGUUUAGGAAGACACUACGUAAUGCAUUUCAGAUAUGUUUCAACCAAAAUGUUAAAUUAAAAAUUACUUAUAAACAAGUUUAUAAGCCUUUCAGCAUUCUGAAAAACUUAGACAAUUGAAAAUAUUUCAUUCUCUCAGCAGUACGCUGUUUUGCAAGAAUUUAAUUAACUUUCAAAACAACUCUAAGAGAGAGCAUUGCUUUUAUCCUCUUUUUACAGAUUUAUGUUUACAAAUGAAGAAAGUGAGGCUUAGGGGAGGUUAAAUAAUACACCCGAGGUCACAGAGCUAAUAAUAUUAAGUAGCCCAGCUGGGAUAUGAAUACAGAACUUUAAAUCUACUCUGAGUAAAUUAAAAACCUAGACUGGAACUGCUCAUUAAGAAAAUGGCUGUGCUAUGUGGAUUUCCAACAUGGAUCUUAGUGAUCCCUUCAUCCUGCUCCCAGGCAUUCCCCCACCCUACAAGGGUGCUUCUAACCAACAGAAUCUGGCAAAGGUGAAGAGGUGUUACUUCUGUGGUUAGGUUAUAAAAGGCUAUAACUUCCGUCUUGCUAGCAGACACUCUGUCUUUCUGUCUUUGACGAAGCAAGCUGCCAUGUUGGAGAGGUCCCAUGACAAGGAACUGAGGAUGGUCUCUGGCCAACAGAGAAGAACUUCAGCUUUCAUCCUCACAACCUGUGAAAAACUGAAUCCUGCUAUCAGCUAUGUGAGUUUAGAAGCAGAUCCCCUCCCAGUCAAACGCUGGGUGUCCACAGCCCAGUCUACACCUUAAGACCCUGAAGCUGAGGACCCAACUCAGUCUUACCUGGAUUCCUGACCCACAGAAACUGUGAGAUAAUGAACGUGUGUUGCAUGAUGCUGCUAAGUUUUUUGGGGUUAUUUGUUACACAGCAAUUGAUAACUUGAUAUAGUGACACUUUAGUAUUGAGAACCCACAAUUUCAAAAGAAGAUGAAGCACUUUUAUUCAAAAAAGCAAUUCAAACAUCUUUUAAAACAAUUUUCAGCCUGACAUGGUGGCUCACACCUGCCACUUUGAGAGGCCAAAGUGGGCAGAUCACUCGAGUCCAGGAGUUUGAGACCCAGCCUGGGCAAAAUAGCAAAAUCCCAUCUCUACUAAAAAUACAAAAACUUAGCUGGGUGUGGUGGAGUACACCUACAGUCCCAGCUACUUGGGAGGCUGAGGUGGGAGAAUCACCUGAGCCCAGGAGAUGGAGGCUGCAGUGAGCAGAGAUCGUGCUAUAGCACUCUAACCUGGACAACCGGAGUGAGACCCUGUUUCAAAAAAAUAAAUAAAUAAUAAUUUACAACUAGGAUUGACUUUUAAAUAUUUUUAGGAAAAAAGGCAAAUAAAUAAAGGUGUAGUUCUGGAAGUGAAGAGAUUCAAUGGGCUGAAACUAAUAAAUCUUUUGUUUCCUACCUUCUCCAAGUUCAAGGUUGUAAAGAAUUGGGAAGCCCAGACACAGGGCAGGAGAACAUCUUUGGGAGUCCAGAGUCCCUGUUCAUGGCAAUCUCCUUCCUGAACACGGGAUUAUGAUAUUUUUGGCACCAAGACAGCCAUAAACAAUUAUUUUUAAAGAGAGGAAAAAGGAAAUUACCUACUCAAAAAAUUAAUGCGGUAGAUUACUUAGUAAGCAAUGCUGAAGCAGUGGAAAGGAAAUGGAAAGAACAGACUGCCUCUCAUGUCAACUCAAUGCUACCUUUUAAACACUCCUCUGUCCACAGGCACAUAUGUUGUACCUGCCCAAGACAACAGGAUAAAAAGGUGGUUGUCCAGAAGAAAAAUAAAUGACUGUCAUGGCUGCCCCAUUUCUUACUCUUUCAUUUUCCCAUUCAUGCAAUAUUCGUGUAAUUGUCUAACUUCCAAUGAUCACUCUGAAAUAUGGGACUGCUUUUUUUUUUUCUGUCUCAUUCUUUAAUUGUUGUUAGCCUAUUACAGGUUUCUGCAAUAUUUCCCAUUUGACAUUUUGCUAAGUGGGAGUUAAUUAUUUUGUUCAAUAUACUUAUUGAUCCAAAUAAUCAAUGACUUAAGAGUUAAGUUUGUCCUCAUUACUACUACUUCUGCCAUCCUAUUCCCUCCACCAGUUUAUCUCAACAGAGACAAUUUUUGCAGUGAACUCCUGGAUAAUGCUUUGCUCUCUACCUUCCAGACUUAACCCAUGACUCCAGGGGAUGGCAUCUUUGUACUGCAAAGAUGUUCCUGGGUCCAGAAGGCUUCAUCCCUUAGUUUUCACAUCUCACCUUUAUUAUUUGAAAUCCAAACAAGAAGUCAAAAAGAGUUUAUUUCCUAGGUAAAGCUCAAUGUGUUAGGCAAUGAUGAGCCUGUGAAAAACCUCAGCAGGUAUACAGCUGAAGCAUGACGGACCUGAAUACUUUCAUCUAGGACUCUCUCAACUUUUUUCUUUUUUUUUUUUUUGCUUUUCCAAAAUGCAAAUAAUUCAAGUGAACUUUGUGUUAUAUAUGGUAGAUGAGUGCCUGAAGUGAAUAUAUAAUCAAUAUAUUAUAAGGUAAAAUAUAUUUUCACUACCUCAUAUAAGGGUAUACCACAGCUAAUCAUUUUCCUAUGACAUGAAUAACUGCAGAAUGAUCAGCUAUGGUUUGUGCAUGCUUUGUAGGUGUGCACAAUGGGUAUAAAACUCUCCAGACAAUUUAGAGAGAACAGCUGACUCUUACCCCAAUAGGGGGCUGGAGGCUUCUCCCAGCAAUGCCUCAAACCUGCUUUGUGACUUUCUGGACAUUCAUUUUUUCAUUCUAACAAAAAAACAAGGAUUAAAGCAAAUAAUUGAAAAAAAAAAUGAAAUAAUUCUCAAAGGUGCCUUCUGGCUUUGAAAUGGAAUGGUUCUAUGGCAGUCAUUGGUUCAUUCAUUGAUUCCACCUAGUAAAAUGUUAAAUACUUUGUUUUACUUAUAUUUAAUUUUCCAGGUGAAAGGUGUAGGAGGUACUAUAUCGUUCUGAAAUAAUUCUGGUCAUAUCUGCCUCCUUUCUAACUAGACAUUCAGAUCCUAUGACCAGACACCAGCAUGCAAUGGAAUUUAAUCUCCAUGGGGGCAGAGACUUUGUCUAUUUUGUUCACUGUCAUUUUCUCAGUGUCCAGUACACAGUGAUAAACAUUUUCUGAACAAAAAAUAAAUGAAUGAAUGCAUGAAUGAACAUCUAUUGAAAUUAAUGUCAUCUAUACCUAUCAGAGAACAAUAUAAACAUCUCACAAAUGAUUGUGGGUCUUAAUAGAUAAUUUACAUUUCCUGAAUAUACACGACCGAGUCCGGAAAUUUAAAAAUAUAUAUUUUACAAAGCAUAAUUUCAGUGAGUGAUUGUUUUGUUACUAUGUACAAGUAAGGAUGUUUCUUCAAAUUUAAAAGCUUUGUCAACAUCAUGGACUAAGUUAUUUCAAAGGCAGUCAAUGGGAAUUCUGGGAAAAUUACAUCUAAAAAAGAGGAAAAAUGAUUUCAUUAUCAUAAUCCUCUUUCAAGUUUACAGUUCAGUUGUGAUUAAAAAAAAGUGAGGAAAGUUUAAAUGAAAUUAUUUAAUAGGACUGGAUUCCAUGUUAAUUGUGGAUUCCAUACUAUUUACACUUUUUCAUUUAAAGAGUCUUUAAAAAUGUGGCUUGCCAUUGAUAGAAUUAUAUUAACACAGCAUUCUGACACAAUCUUAUUGCAAUUUCAAGAGUAGGAAAAGCCGAAGGAAUGAACUGCUACUAAAUAAAAUAUAGCCUCAUGUUUGCAGACACCUUACUGGUUAAUCAAUGGCUUAUAGUAUGUGCCUCAGGCUUAUGUGUGGCCACGAUUAUUUUAACAAAUCCAAGAAAGUAUAAUAACCUCUUGGCAGAUACAUAUGCUAGCAUAUUUCAAAUGUGUGUAGUUGCUAUUCUAAAGACAUGUAUUUUAAAGAUUUAAUAAAAUAAUAAUAGCUGCUUGUCAUGUGUUUUCUAAAUCAAUGGACACUAAAAUUAUAACUACUCUAAAGUGUAAAUCCAUAGCAUGACUUUUCAAAAACUUACCAUAAUUAGUUUUAUUAUUAUUUUUCUUAAUAGAGAAGCAAUUCGAGUUAAUUGCACAAUGAAAGUAAAUAAAAAUAAUACCUACAAUCACACACAACAAGACAGAGACAAUCCCUUAAACACCUUGCUGUGGGUACAUUUUAUUAAGUCCGUGUUAAACAAAAAUGAAAUCACAAGCUUUGUAAGUGGCUUUUUAAAACAAAUAUGCUGUGAAAAGCUUUCUAUAUAAAUAGAUGCAUUUCUUUAACAUGUUAAUUGUUGCAAAAUGGUCCAUUAGGUAUAAGAACCAUAAUAUAUCUAUCCGGCCCUUUGUUUUUGUAUAUUUGGCACUUUAGAAAACAUUCAUUUACAACAGGGUAUUUUGAUCUCAAUACUAUUGACACUUUGGGCUGGAUAAAAAUGUUCCUACCUGGUAUUAUGGUCACUACUUGAGUCACAGGGUCAUUAGAAGCCCAAAUUUCAGCAUCAGGCAAUAUACCCAUAUACCAAACCUGCACAUGUACCUGCUGAUUCUAAAAUUAAAAAAAAAAAAAUGCCCUUGUUUAUAAAGUCCUUUCUCGCCUUAAGACUAUAUAAAGAUUAAAUCAUAUCUCCUUAAAGUACUUUUUCUCUCUGAUUUUUAGAAAUUUGAGUAUUUUAAGCAUUUGAUACUUAUUUCUUUUUUAGUAAGAUAUGAGGCGAUUUUAAAAAUAUUCUGAUGGUAAAGAAAGAGGCCCCAGUCUUUGGAAAAAUGGGACACCCUGGACUUGGUGGUCAUCAUGUUUUCUGCCUGCCAACUCUACUUGGCUGUUUGAUUCCAUGGUGCUACCUGUUAUCUCCCUCAUCUUUAUCGUAAUUUCACCGUGAACGCGUGCCAAGACAAAGAGAAUGUAACAGGAGAACAGAGGAAGAGAAGGGAACCAUUUGGGCUCAUCUGUAAACGAAAAUAGGAAUCAUCUAGCUGUGGGGAGGAAAGGGAUAUGCCAUACAGAGAGGCUGACUGAGCCUGCUUGACGUUGGCAUGAAUUAUGCCUCCUUCCCACUUAGCUGCAUCCUUCAGCCCUUUGAGAUUUCUGGAGUACCUUAAGUGCACAAAACGUUUCCACAUAUGUAACCAACUUCUAUCCUCAAAAGAACGGUCAUGGAAAUUCUAGUCAUUUUCAGUUUACAAAUGACAGAACAGCAGUUCAGUAUUUCACAGCCAUCCUGCAGCUACUGGAUGACAGAGCUGGAAGGCAGAGAAAAUCUGAGAUUCUUCUGUGCAUCACCUCUAGCUCUAUCACAACAACUUGAAAGCACCUGGAAACAAAUCUUUUUUUUUUUUUUUCCUGAGAAAAUAAAAUCUACAGAGUUUCAGCAGGAAUGUAAAUUAGUUUUCUGUUUGUCACAGGGAAUUGAUGUCUUCUGGACUCCAUAACUCUCUUUGAGAUUAGUAUCUGAAGUUCGAGAGCCUCCUAGGAGUAGAACAAGAAUUCAAAGCAUUCUUCAAGAAAUGCAAAGGAAUGUAAGUGCCCAGGUCUUAGAGUCUGUACAGCUUUAGUCAAUUUCCUCCUAAUAGCCUCUUUGAACUGAGUCAAAGGCUUCUCUGGUUUUGAGUUAUUCCUACAUUAUUUCAAUAAUUUUUCUUACCCACAAACCUUGCCUUUAAAGAAAACUCUCUCUCUCUCUCCUAUGAAAGGAUUGUGAAAUAGGAGUAAGACACAGAACUUGAAAUGACAAGGCAGCUAUUGCUCAUUUACCCCAAUUCCUACAUCCACUCACUGAUUUACUUUUUGAGGUUCACAGAAACACCAUUUAUGUUUUUUGUAGGCACUGCUGCUGAAUAAAGGAGAACUUCUCACCUCCAACCCUCUCUUCCAGAAAAAACUGUUUAGAAAACCUUCAUAUUUACUCUUCCGUUCAAACUAUUGGCCCUGAUUUUUACAGAUAAUCAAAAGUCAGGCUGCCAAACUUAUUUUCUUUGAAUUUGGAAUAUCUUUUAAAAUUUGCCUUUUUCUUUCUUAUUAUUAGUCCAUAAAGGCUAUUUCUAGUAUUAAACAAUGCUUAAGAAUAGCUUGGAUCCAUGAAAACUUUUGAGAAGGAGGACAAAGCAGACGGAACCUAAUCUCUGAACAAUUUCAAUUACAUCUUUUACAAGUGGCUGUUGGCUAGUCAUUAAAAAUGAGCCAUUCACACUUGUGGACACCUUUUUUGCCAUGCAGACUUGACUUGCAAAGCCUUUAUUAUCCCUGGUUAAGAACAGCACAGCUAAUAAAAACGAAUCAUAUGGCUUUAAACUACUUGCAUCCAACAGGGACAUCCUAAAAAUGGUCCGGAUAGUGACUUCAUGACCAUUUAGGCUGCAAGUGCCAUAGUUACUAAUGAGAACAGAUAUUUCCAAAUGGCGGCAAUAGAUUAUGAAAAUGGAGAAAGGAAAGAGAGUAAUUUACUUUCAGCUAACACUGAAAUGCUUAUAAGGAUGAGGUAAGUAAGAUUUUUAAAACCGGUCUGUUAUCAUAAAACUAAAGUAUUCCCAUUUACAUGAAGGUAGAAAGAAAUAUGGAGAGUAAAAACAUUUUUCUUAGCUGCUUUUUUGCUUCCUCUUAAUAUAAGGAAUUGUUAAAUAUCAUGUAUAAAGUUUACAUUUUUACAGUGAAAUAUAUUUAUGUAAAAUAUUUGAAAACACCAUCUAGACUUAGUGAAAAAAAAGUCUGAGCAGGGUCUUGGGAAAAUUUUUUAGAUUUCAGAAACACAUAAAUCAGUAACUAGAUUGAACUGCUUUCAGGCUAAUCCUAGAACUGUGAAAAUUCUUAGUACAGCUGCAAAUACCAAUUUACAUGUUAUUUAGUAAUAAGUAAACUUGGCAAACUCUCAUUAAACAGAUGCUUUUAAUGCAACCAGCCAGUAGGGCAGUAGGGAAGUCUAGAAGCUGGUCUCUCUCUUCUCUCUCUGACUUCUCCUCCACUGCUAUGGAGAACUGGGAGCAGUUGAUGCAAUACACACAAGUAUCUUCUGUGCUAGGCACUGGAUUGCCACAAACGUCUUCAGUGCCAGCCUUUCUCAGGUUAUUUUACAGCAUUCUGAUUGGCUGAUAAAACAUCUGGUUAGUUCCUAUUGCCUAAGAAUUUGUACUGGCCAGUGAUUUUUUACUGGCUGUUUGGCUAUUUCUAGGUGUAAUGAAAAGUGUUCACCUUGAUGGAGAAAGAAGGUAAGAAGCCAAGGAUAUUUCUACUGGAUGUGCUUUUUGAAAACUGUUUUCGGUUAAAUUACAAACUGAGGCUUCCUCGGCUUUGUUGCCCAAGCAAAAUAUAGCUAUUUGCAGACUGCGAUAUAAUUGUUGGUGUGCAGAAACUGCCUUUUUAAAGAACUACUGAUCUAAUCUAACCUACUCAUUAGAUAGAUGGGACAACACAAUUUAUAUCUGUAUAUGGGAGACACAGAGAGAAAGAGAGAGAGAGAAAAUCACACACAUAUACACACACGCACACACACAGAGCAAAGCUAGCUGGUCUUUGGAAAUCCAUCUUUCAUGCCUAUUCAUUCAUGUUUUCAAUUCUUCUACCCUCUCUUUUGAUAAGAGAAGUUCUUGGAUGGAAUAUAUUGAUUCUCCCUAAUUACAUAUUUUUGUUAAUGCCCACAGUACCAUAUUAUCCACUAAAAUACAAAAUACAAUUUAAUUUCUCCUGAGCUGAGCCUUUUUCAAGGCUUACAGGGUAUAUAUUUACAAACUUGUUUUCAGGCAAUGGUCUAGUAUACAAAUUUGAGGGGCAUGAGGUUUUGGAAAGUGUUUCAAUAAUUUGGAAGUUGAACAACAGAGGCAGAAGGGAUUUCCUAAAUAUGAAGAAAUAAACUCAAGCCAUUCCCCUUUAUUUUCCCAUCAGAGAGCAUUCAAGAAAAACAUCACAACUAAAAAUAGUUCCAAUCAGUCUCUCUCACUUCCAAGCCUGCAUCUAGAAGUCAGGUACUUUGGUCAUUGUAGUGAGCAAGUGUUGUCCUGUGUUGAGCAGGAACUGAAAUGUACUUGAAAACCUUGUGGGUGAGGUUUGAAAAAAACAAGGAUUUAAUGAUUUCCAGAAUCACUAGAAGAGCCUAGUAGAGUCUAGACAACAAAGAAAAAUGCCACCACUGUUCUUAGUUAAUAAUGUACGUGCUUGUGCUUGUAUAGUUACUUCACUAUUCCCGAAGGACAGUAGAGAUACAGAUACAACUAGAGCCUAUUUAAUUUCAUUUUACUUUUAGAAUAGUACAGUUUUCUCAUUGGUAUAAAAAGCUACAUUAAUGGUAGCAAUGCAAGUGGCAUUUAUUGGUUGCCCGGUGUCUAACUUGUGAAAUCAAUCAAAAUCUUCUUUUUCCCGUAUCCAAUAUGUACAUAAGCCUGUUGAAAUGUGUCACAUCAUUUACACUGAUCUCAUCAGUCCAACCAAAUGCUCAGCUUGCUCUAGCCACCACCAUGUGAUGCCCCUGCUGCUGGACUCCAAUACACCAACUCUUGGUUGGGGGGUUUGACCACUCAGAGAUACUGCUAAUAUUUGGGCCAUCCUAAAACCAUAUGACUCUAUUGAUUCAAAUUUCUGCUCUUAUUCAGUUCUACUCGUAGCACUUGCCCAUUGGACCCAUCACAGCCAAUGCAUUCUGAAGCUCUAAGCAGAUCAUUCUAGCCACAGAGCAUAAAAGUCACCCAAUGUUAAUACCAGAAGUAGUCAGAGAAAUCAUCCAAUCCAGUGAUUCUCAAAGUGUGCUCCCCACACCAGCAUCAUUAUCACCUGGGACCAUGUUAGACAGGCAAAUUUGCAGAUUUCCACCCAAGCUUUACUGAAUAUGGUAAUGAGGUCCAGUGAUUCUGUUGCACAUUCAAAUUUGAGAACCACUGAUUGAAUUAAUCCAACACUUUUUGUAGAUGAGAAUGCUGAGAGUCAUGAAAGUUAAAUGAGUUAUCUAUGGCCCCACGCCCAGUUGCUGGUGAAGUCAAGGCUAGAGCCUAUAUCUGAUGACCAGUCCAGGACUUUCCAUGUUCCAGAAUAGCAUUAUUGUUUAUUAUGCCAUAGUUUGUGGACUUCUGUCUUAAAAAAAUAAAUAUAUGCUAAUAAAUGUAAGACUUUUGAAGGGGGAUGAUCCCACUGCUUAAUUCCAUUAUUUUUACUUCCCCUGCAGACAGCUAAGUCUUCUAAGAAACAACAAAUAUAGCCACUAGAACUACAUCAAAGUACCUCACUAUGUCUGAAUAAUAUUUUUCAAUAAUAAGACAAGUAAUGAAUUUAUACUAAAGUUCUGAAAGGAGAAAAACAAUACAAUGUAGAUCUAUGGAUUUGAUCUGUAGAAAAAAUAGCCAUGAGCAUCUCCUGUCCACACCUCCUUCUCUCCCAAUUAAAAUAAAAAUCACAAGAAAUUUUCACAAUGAUGAGGGCUUUUAAACUUGUCUUGUGUGCAUAUUUUGGAGCCUUUGAUGUAUGCUCACAGAUGAGGAAGAAAGAAGGCCAGUUAUGAUCAACCGCUCUGCUAAGUCACAAAUACUAACAUUAAAAAUGUAGAUCAUCUAAAGUAGAGGUCAAAUAUUCCCCUUGAUCGUCCUUGAGCCAAUUUGGAUAGCUGAUUAUUCAUUUGCCAAAAUAAGCUCUCAAAGACACAAAUGGUCUGCUGAAAGAACAAAGUAGGAGAAUUGAAGCGCUCAUUGAAUUCAUCAGUCACAAGCACUAUACGGGGAAAAAAAGAGAGAGUGUGUCCUAGAGAGCGUGUGUCUGGCAGACUGUCCAGCCCCCGCCUGCUCCCUAGGGAGGUUCCAGCCCUCCCUGCAAGAGGAGUUAUAAUCCUCAGAGUCUGCCUGCCACAGAGUAGCCAAGUGCUUCUUGAAUUGCAGCGGCGAAAAUGUUCAAGGUCUUAUCACAACAGCCACAAAAACAACUUUGCCCUAACGUCAACAUUUUGCUGAAAACAAAGAUUGAUUAAACUAAGGACAAAUCCCUGGACACACCACUGAAAUAAAAACGAACAAUGAUAGUGAAAGUACAGUGGUCCCUGAAGUAGUUUACAGUUCGCCAAGAACCUUCUAGAAGGAUAACUUGUGGUUGACGAAUUUAAGAUGUGACUGUAAAAGAAGCCUUGAGGAACUGAGGUUAGGGGUGAAUUUAUACAAGUCUAUAUAAAUAUUCAUACAUUUACUAAAAUGAAGUAAUAAAAAAGUACAGUAAACAAAGCACUGCUGAUUCAAUGAGAAGUCUGCAAAGUCCUUUAUUGCAUAUCAAGAUGCAUAUUGUUUCUGGACUUCAAAAAAAAUUACAACUCUUAAUGCUUUUGAAAUCCUAUAUUCUCACCUCCUGUUACUUGUCUUGGUCCUGGUGGGUCAGAGAAAUCCAAUGGCUUGGGAUAAAAAUAAAAUAAAAUAAAAUGCACUGAGAAACUGAGGUCUGUUGACUAUUUCUCAAUCUGGGUUUCUUUUACCCAACAUUUUCUCCCCAUGAAAACUACCUGACAAAGCACAGGCCCCCAGCCUUUCUCACCAACUUAGCUCUGUCCACUGAAAAUAGAGAUCAUCUUAAGCAUAUGUCUCCUUCCAUUUUUCCCCCAAGAUUUGAAUUCAAAAGCCUCUAACCCCUUCCCUGCAAUUUUAUUUUAUUUUUAUUAUUAUACUUUAAGUUCCGGGUUACAUGUGCAGAACGUGCAGUUUUGUUACGUAGGUAUAUGUCACCUACAUUAGUUAUUUCUCCUAAUGUUAUCCCUCCUAGCCCCCUGCAAUUUUAUUAAACAUUCUAUUUUGUGUUUUCACCAGUACAUACACUUCCAUGUGAAGCAAUGUGUAAAUUCAGUGCACUAGAAAUUAAAAUUCUGAAGAUCGACAUGAAAUAAACUCAAGGUCUUCAAACUUUUGCAAAAGGAGCCAUGAAACUUAUAAUUCCUUAGUGAGGUAAAAUGAUUUUUCUAUUACUUCAUUCUGUGGUAUUUCCAGAGAGACAUUGGGUCUCCCUUAUUCAUACUGACUCUAUGGAUUCUCCAUUCUUAAUCUGUUACCAGAUUCCUGCUGCUGGGUAAUUAUUAUGCACCCAGUUUAAUACUAGUCUGAGAAAAACAAACAUGACUUCAAAUGUUAAUCUGCUACAAAAGUAAUGAGAGCAAAUCCUCCAAACACCAAACGCAAAUGCAUUUUUAAGGUGAGCCGUUGUUUCAGAUCUUGCCCCUUGCACCCCUCCCUUUGACAUAUAUUAUUAAAAAUCGACAAUGAAUCAUAAGUUUCACCUGCUUUGACUAUGGUAAGGUUCCCUCUCCAAAAUGACAGGAAAAGAAUGUGAUUCCCUUCUAUUUGUGUGUAAGUUGUAUGGUCUCUAAUAUUCACUAUUCUUAUAAAUGAGUCAAAACUCAGCGAGAAGAUAUCAAAAUCCUUAGAUUUCAAACAAACAUAGCCAAGGGUUUUCUGAAUCAAAACCAUUUGUAGAUGUAAGUCUAUAAAUGACUCCCUUGAGCAGCCUGAAAUCUGGCCUGGUCUUCAAAGCAGCUAAGUUCUCAUCUAAACCUCCAUGUUUACAGAAUCCUUCCUUUCAAACAUUAUCCACCACGUCAUAUCCUUCAGUCCCCUAAUGGUCCAUUUCAUGCAACCCAAAUUCCAGUUACCAUCUGACCACUGAUCAAAGAAAAAGUGAAAAGAAAAAUUUUUACCACUGGGCUAGAGCCUUAUGGGAACAAAAGGCAAGUGUUCAAUAGUGUAACAAUUAUGAUAGCCCAAUUAUACAGAAGUCUAGCUUCACUGAACAUCAUGGAAAUAUCUCUGAAAGCACACAAUGGUCAGAAAUCAUAGCACCUUGGAACCACAACACGGAAACAGAAAUGUGUUUGAUGCAUUAUGUCUUUUUGAAAAAAAAAAUCAUCAUUCUUUUUCAAUGGAACAGGUAUAAAGCUGUCACAGUCCUAGAAUAGGAAUGACUGGAUUCAAUAAUUUAUGUCAUGUAGGUUUGUGCAUUGUGUCUUUCCAGAUGUCAAAGGUAGACCAAGUGUCAGUCCCACUUCUGCCAGUGAACUUCAGAUCUGCAGUCCACCUACAUGAGCUUCUCACUGCUAUCUGUUUUAGAAACUUUAUUUUUGGUUUUCUGUGCUCUUGUAUGCUUUGCUCCAGAACUGUGGUUAGGGAUAGUGAUGGUGGUAUAUAGAAACUGGAGUAAGGCAGCCGCUCAUGACGUUAGGGCAAUAGUGAUCCAAAACCCCCAAAACAGGAAAAAAAAAUGCACAAGCAACCUUUUGACUGACAUGGCCCAAGACAUAGGCUUCAGGUGCCCAAAGGCAAGAAAAGCAAAAUAAAACAAAAAGAAGCAGGAAACAGCUCAUAAAUUCAGAAUGGAGCUUUUAGAUUAAAUGUUCAAUCAGAGACUUGAUAGAAACUGCAGGUGGGGCUGCAGGAAGUGCUAGUCCUAUAGGGGGUAACAUGCUUCCCUUUACACUAAACCAAGCUACUAGCAAAGACUCAAGGUCAGAGGAUAGUGUGAUAGCAAGUAGUACAAGAAGGCACAUGUCCUCCUCCCCAUUGUGAGGUCAGCUGGAGCAUUCUGCAAGAGGAAGAAAGCCUAGUCCAAGGCACUGGUACUAUUUAAACCAGGUCACUACUAUCUGCACCUAAGGAAGAAAUGUUGAGUAAUUUAUUAGUUUUCACUUACAGUGUAUAGUUAUUAUUAGCUUUACAUCAUCAACUUUAAAAAUGCAAGCUCCACUAGAUUAUAAGCAUCACUAUAUAAAUUCUUUGAGGGAAGGGAUCUUUACUUAUUUUAUUCCUUGGUAUACUCAAGCACCUAAAAUAGACACAAAGAAGGCUCUUAUGUUUCUUCAGUAAAUAAAAACGAAACAGAAUCCUCAUCUCAAAGAUAUUACUCAAGCCAGGCUGAAGCAUAAGUCUGUGCAGGUUGUGCCUCAAACAAAAAUGCCUGGCCCAGAGGGCAGUGUAAGGCUGGAAUCCAGCCAGUGUCCCCACCAAAACUUGUCCCUUACCUGCAAGUAUACAGCUCAGAAAAAGGUGUCAUCUGCCUAAUGAGGAAGAUUUUUUUUGUAGGCAGAGUCUCCUGGGCUCUUCAAGGCCCAGGGCUCUGGGCUCUGUCAAGGCAAGUUUCCCCAGGAGGGUAUUUUGGUGAGCUGGGUAAGUCAAGCCACAGGGCACUCAGAUAUAAUCCAAUGCAUUACAUGGAAACGAUUCUACAAUUCAGACAUCCCAUCAGCUAUUUUCAUUACUGAUGUCUUCCUGCAUCAACACUGCUGUGCAGUGACUGAGGAUACACACUUUCUUUUUUUUUUGAGACGGAGUCUCGCUCUGUCCCCCAGGCUGGAGUGCAGUGGCGCAAUCUCGGCUCACUGCAAGCUCCGCCUCCUGGGUUCACGCCAUUCUCCUGCCUCAGCCUCCCGAGUAGCUGGGACUACGGGCGCCCGCAACCACGCCUGGCUAAUUUUUUGUAUUUUUUAACAGAGAUGGGGUUUCACCGUGUUAGCCAGAAUUGUCUCGAUCUCCUGACCUCGUGAUUCGCCCGCCUUGGCUUCACAAAGUGCUGGGAUUACAGGCGUGAGCCACCGCACCCAGCCGAGGAUACACACUUAUAACAAGUUUGUCAAUAAAUCCUUCUAAGUGUAACUCACAAGUUGAAUUUGGACUCUUGAAUUUUUUUUUUUUUUUUUUUUUUUUGAGACAGAGUCUCACUCUGUUGGCCAGGCUGGAGUGCAGUGGCAUGAUCUCUGCUCACUGCAACCUCUGUCUCCUGGGCUCAAGCAAUUCUCCUGCCUCAGCCUCCCAAGUAGCUGGGACUACAGGCAUGUGCCACCAUGCCCGGCUAAUUUUUAUAUUUUUAGUAGAGACAGGGUUUCAGCAUGUUGGCCAGGCUGGUCUCUAACUCCUGACCUCAGGUAAUCUGCCCCACUCAGCCUCCUAAAGUGCUGGGAUUACAGGCAUAAGCCACCGUGCGAGGCUAACUGUUGAAAUCUUAAAGACAUGUUAGCCAUGGCAACACUUUAGGAGGCCAAGGAAGGACAAUCACUUGAGGCCAGGAGUUUGAGAAAAAAAUUAGCCAAGUAUAGUGGUACAUGCUUAUAGUCCCAGCUACUUGGGAGGCUAAAGUGGGAAUAUCACUUGAGUCCCCAAGUUUGAGCCUGCAGUGAGCUAUGAUUGCAUCACUGCACUCUAGCCUGGAUGACAGAGCGAGACCCUAUCAAAAGAAACAAACAAACAAAAAAAAUUAGCCCUUGUAUUAGUCUGUUCUCAUGCUGCUAAUAAAGACAUAUUCGAGACUGGGUAAUUUAUAAAGGAAAGAGGUUUAAGGGACUCAUAGUUCCACAUGGCUGGGGAGGCCUCACAAUCAUGACAGAAGGCAAAAGAGAAGCAAACACAUGGUGUCAGGCAAGAGAGGGCUUAUGUAGGGGAACUCCCAUUUACAAAACCAUCAGAUCUUGUAAGACUUAUUCACUACCAGGAGAACAGUAUGGGGGAAACCCCUAUGAUUCAAUUAUCUCCACCUGGCCCCACCCUUGACACGUGGUGAUUAUUAUAAUUCAAGGUGAGAUGUGGGUGGGGACACAAUCAACCUGAAAACAUCUACAAUAUUUAAGUGGUGAGAAACAUUAGCAUGGAGGACACAAUAAUGAAGUACAAGGCAAAGUUCUUUAACUCUGGCACUUUUGGCAUCUGGGGCCAGAUAACUGUUUGUUGUCAGGGCCUGUCCUGUGCAUUGCAGGAUGUUAAACAGCAUCCCUACUCUCUACCCACAAGAUGCCAGUAGUACCUCACCCCCUCCCAGUUAUAUCAGAAUUCCUCUAGACUUUUCCAGGUGUUCCCUGGGGAGCAAAAUCACUCCUGAUUGAGAACCACUGGAAUAGGUAAAGCUGCCAGAUUGGGACUGGGUAAGGGCCAGAAAAUGUUUAGACAUUUGUGGAUAAUUAAAAAGAAUUACCAGCAAAGUAUUAGAAUGGGCCUUCAUCCUAACAUCUAGCUGGGCAAUAGUCCAAGUUCAGCUGCCCCCAGGUGGGGAACAGAGGUGGAGGGAUGAGCAGAGACAAGCAGCAGCCUAAGUAAGAAAGAUGGGGUAAUAUUUAUAAGUGGGAGGAUGAGUUACAGAUGGAAAACCUGGAUCCCACGAUUCCCUUAUGGCUCUACAUCAGGCAGUCAUCUUAUGUUGGGUCCGUAUGUGUGCAUUUGAACCAACUAACCAUUGUGCAUAGAUAUUUUUUCCUUUGUCCGAAGAAAUCACCUUUGCUGAGAAUCAAGUAUAUUCCUAUAUUGUUGGCAUGGUUUGGAUAGGUGUUGGCUGAAAUAAUAGCUACUGCUGAAAAUAAAGAAGGAUAACCCUAAUACACAGAAAUGGUUGGUGUGGUAAUGACUUUAAUGGCCAGGUUGACCCCCUACAGCAUCCAAUCUAAGAGUUGAGACACUUGGCUAGUACUUUUAGGUUGGACCCUGAUGCAACUUUUACUUUGGCAAUCCUGUUGCUCUUUUGGGAGACCUCCUCAUUCAGGUUUGUCCCCAGAUGAUCUUAGAAUAGGCCAUGCAUAAACAAAGCUUAAGAUUGGUAGAGCCGUACCACCAUGAAAGCUUGGGGAAGGAACGUGUAAAAGCAAAAUAACAUCUUUCCAUUCACUCUGGUAUUUCAUUAUUACAGUUAAUGCCUGGGGAUCUAUUUUGCAUAUACUAUGUAAUUGCCUCGUUUUUCUUGAAACAUCUUCAUCUGGAUUCUAGGAACCACAGUCUGCUGAAUUCCCACCUCCCUUCUCAUCUUUCUGAGGGCAAAGUUGUGGCUCAGGGUCCCUUUUCCCUCCACACUCAUUCCCAGGUUGGUGUGACUAACAGCAUGAUCCAUGAACAAGCACUCUCUGUGAAUUGUUUGUUCUCAGUCCAUAGCAAGAUAAGUACAGGAAGCCAGAGUGAGUGUUAAGAAACUUUUACAGCAAUUUGACAGAAUAAUUUUAUGUCUAUUAACUCUAUUAGCAAAAAAAAAAGUGGCACUCGUAUUUAGUAUGUAUUUAUUUCAGUUUUCCUUAAAUUUUGUUUUCCCUUAGAUUUAUUUUUAUUGUAUUUAAAAGCAUCAGUCUACAGCAAAUUAGAAAAAACAAAGGCCAUUCACUAGACAUAUUUUGAAAAGCACUGUCUUAGAUGGUCUUAUCUAGUCCAUAACUUUAAAUACUGCCAGAAACCGAAUGUUUAUGUUCCCUGCAAAUUUGUACGUUGAGACCUGAUCUCCAAUGCAAUGGCUUUAGGCAGUGGGACCCUUGGGAGGUGAUUAGGUCAUAAGUGUGGAGCCUUCAUGAAUGAGAUUAGCGACCACAGAGAAAUCCCUCACUCCUGCCAUGUGAGGACACAAUGAGAACAGAACUGUCUAUGAGGAAAUGGGCCCUCACCAGACACUAAAUCUGCCAGGGCCUUGAUCUUGGACUUCUCAGCCUCCAGAACUGUGAGAAAUACAUUUCCAUAGUGUAUAACCCACCCAGUCUAUGGUAUUCUGUCAUCAAACAUCAUCUAUAUAUAGCCAGCAUCCAACUUUGUAUCACCAGCUUCAACAUCCCCUUUGUGUUCCAGGCUCAAAUAUCCAACUGCCGACUCUACCGCUCCCCUUGGAUGUCUUAAAAGCAUCUCAAGGGUAACAGGUAACAUGUCUAGAAGUAGUCUUGCUUUUAUGCUCCUGAAUCUUCCUCCUCUCUAAUUUUCCUUGAGUCAUUAAAUAGUAUUCACCCAACUUUUCAGGCUAAGCACUUAGGAUUCACUCUUGACUAGUAUCAUUCUACCACACUCUACACCCAGUGCAGCAGUAAUUUCUGAAGGCUCUGGCUCUAACAGAGAUCACAGACCGAACCACUUCUCACCCUCUCACCACCAAGAUUCCAGUUCAAAUGACUAUCCAUCCUCUCUCAUUUGGAAAGAGGAAAGGGCCUUCUGCUAUUUCUCCCUGCUGCUAAGCUUGACCAUGAGAGUCUCUCUUCCACAGCAGCCACAUUUGGGUUUUUUAAAAGUAGAAACCUGAUCAAGUUCUCUCUGCUUUAAACUCUCCAAUGGAUUCCAUCAUACAGAACACAGUGCAGAGAUGGAGUGCUACUGUGAGACCCUACAUAACUUCCCCCAUCAUCCUGACCCCACUGUGCUCACCCUUACUGGCUCAUGCUGCUCCAAAUGUAGGGUCCUCCUCUUGUUUUGUAAACACCCUAAGCACACUCCUGUAUUAGGCGCUUUUGAAUUUUGCUUCCUUCUGCCUGAAAUGUUUUUUUCCUAGACAUAUGCAGACUUUACUCCCUUGUUUCCCUGAGAAACUUUUUCAUGCAGCACUGCUACCCUGAGUCACCUCCUUAAUCAUUCUACUUUUUUUCACUUCAGUCCACUGUAACUAAUUAACACCAUAAUAUAAUUUCAUUAUUUUAAAAUUUGUUUAUUGCCUCUCCUCUCCCUAAAAUAUAAAGUCCAUGAGAGCAUGAAUUUUAACCUGUUAUCUGAUUUUCUCACAUCUAGAGAAUGCCUAACAGAGAAGAGAUCCAAAACAAGUGCUUAAAUAAAUUGCUUUAUUUCAAGCAUGUUCAUGAAUACAAAGAGUAAAAAUAGUGCAUUAGCUUACACUAGGGUUUUGCUACCUAGGAUUAUCACUCAUUCAUUCAUUUUAUUCCUUUUUUUUGAGAAAUAAUACACUUUCAUAGUCACAGUUUCCAAAUAAUUAAAUAUUUAUUUAUAACUAAAUGUUUAAAUUGAAAAAAGUUAACUAUGGAGAAAUGCAUUAAUUCAAAACUCAUCUCUAUUCUUAUUUUGUGAUAAUCAUUUGAGGUUUUUUUCAGCAAACUUGAUAUAGUUUGGCUAUGUCCCCACCAAAAUCUCAUCUUAAAUUGUAGUUUCCAUAAUCCCAGUGUUUCCUGAGAGACCUGGUGGGAGGUAAUUGAAUCAUGGGGGCAGUUACCCUCAUGUUGUUCUCGUGAUAGUGAGUGAGUUCUCAGGAGACCUCAUGGUUUUAUAAGGGGCUUUCCCCUUUUUGCUCAGCACUUCUCCUUUCUGCUGACACGUGAAGAAGGGCAUGUUUGCAUCCCUUUCUGACAUGAUUGUAAGUUUCCUGAGGCCUCCCCAGCCAUGCAAAACUAUGAGUCAAUUAUUUUCUUUGUAAAGCACUCAGUCUUGGGUAUGUCUUUAUUAGUAGUGUGAGAAUGGAUUAAUACACUAAAUUGCUACAACAGAGAGUGGGGUGCUGCUAUAAAGAUACCCAAAAAUGUGGAAGCGACUUUGGAACUGGGUAACAGGCAGAGCUUAGAACCAUUUGGAGGGCUCAGAAGAAGACAGGAAAGUGUGAGAAAGUUUGGAACUUCCUAGAGACUUGGAGGGCUCUGAAGACAGGAAGAUGUGGGAAAGUUUGAAACUUCCUAGAGACUUGUUGAAUGGUCUUGAACAAAAUGCUGAUAGUAAUAUGGACAAUGAAGUCCAGCCUGAGGUGAUCUCAGAUGGAGAUGGGAAACUUGUUGGGAACUGGAGUAAAGUUCACUCUUGCUAUGCAAAGAGACUGGUGGCAUUUUGUCCCUGCUCCAGAGAUCUGUGGAACUUUGAACUUGAGACAGAUGAUUUAGGGUACCUGGCAGAAGAAAUUUCUAAGUGGCAACGUGUUCAAGAAGAAGCAGAGCACAAAAGUUUGGAAAAUUUGCAGCCUGAUGAUGUGAUAGAAAAUAAAAACCUAUUUUCCAGGGAGAAAUUUAAGCUGGCUUCAGAAAUUUGCAUGAGUAACAAGGAGCCAAAUGUUAAUCACCAAGACAAUGGGCAAAUGUCUCCAGGACAUGUCAGAGGUCUUCACAGCAGCCCCUCCCUUCACAGGCCUGGAGGCCUAGGAGGCAGAAAUGGUUUCUUGGGUUGGGUUCAGAGACCCCUGAUGUGUGCAGCCUUGGGACUUGGUGCCUUAUGUCCCAGCUGCUUCAACUUCAGCCGUGGCUAAAAGAAGCCAAUGUAGAGCUCAGGCCAUUGCUUCAGAGGCUGAAAGCCCCAAGCCUUGGUGGAUUACACGUGGUGCUGGGCCUGUGGGUCCACAGAAGUCAAGAACUGAAGUCUGGGAACUUCUGCCUAGAUUUCAAAGGAUGUAUGAAAACACCCGAUGUCCAGGUAGAAGUCUGCUGCAGAGGUGGGUCCCUCACGGAAAACCACUGCUAGGGCAGUGCAGAAGGGAAAUGUGGGAUUGGACCACCAACAAAAUGUCCCCACUGAGGCACUGCUUAAUGGAACUGUGAGAAAAGGGUCACCAUCCUCCAGACCCCAGAAUGGUAUAUCCACGAACAGCUUGCACUGUGCUCCUGCAAAAGCUGCAGACACUCAAUGCCAGCUGUGAAAGCAGCUGGGAGGGGGUGCUGUACCCUGCAAAGCCACAGGGGCAGAGCUGUGCAAGAUGGUGGGAGCCACCUCUUGCAUCAGCACACCCUGGAUAUGAGACAUGGAGUCAAAGGAGAUUAUUUUGGAGCUUUAACAUUUUUACUGACCAACUUGGAUUUCAGACUUGCAUGAGGCCUGUAGCCCCUUUGUUUUAGCCAUUUUCUCUCAUUUGGAACAGGUGUGUUUACCCAAUGCCUGCACCCCUAUUGUAUCUAGGAAGUAACUAACUUGCUUUUGAUUUUACAGGCUCAUGGGCAGAAGGUACUUGCCUUGUCUCAGAUGGGACUUUGGACUUGGACUUUUGAGUUAAUACUGGAAUGAGUUAAGACUUUGGGGGACUGUUGGGAAGGCAUAAUUGUGUCUUUAAGUGUGUGAUGACAUGAGUUUUGGGAGGGGCCAGGAGUGAGAUGAUAUGGUUUGGCUGUGUCUUCACCCAAAUCUCAUCUUGAAUCGUAGCUCCCAUAAUCCCUGCAUGUCAUGGGAGGAACCCAGUGGGAGGUAACUGAAUCAUGGUGGCGAUUACUUCCAUGGUGUUCCAUGUGAGUGUGUUCUCAUGAGAUCUGAUGGUUUUGUAAGGGGUUUUUCCCUCGCUUCACUCUGUACUUCUCCUUGCUGCCGCCAUGUGAAGAAGGAUGUGUUUACUUUCCCUUUUGCCAUGAUUGUAAGUAUCCUGAGGCCACUCCAGCCAUGCUAAACUGUGAGUCAAUUAGACCUCUUUCCUUUAUAAAUUACUCAGUCUCGAGUAUGUCUUUAUUAGCAGUGUGGGAAUGGACUAAUACAAAACUUUAUGGAAAAUUCAAUAUAAUAGCAUAUAUAAGAUUGAAAGGAAUUGCUUUAAAAUGUUUAGGAAAGCCAACUCUCAAAUACCAGGGAAGAAGCCAUUAACCAACAAAUAUGUUCAAUGCAAAUUACAAUGUAGUCCUACCUGUUCAUCAGCAUAGGUCACCUACAGCAAUUCUAGACAGCAUCUUUAGCCUUGCUCGCUCAUUGCUUUUACAGGUUUACUGAAUGCCUACCACAUGCCUACACUGUUCUGGGGGUAGGGAGGAAAUGAUAUAGCCAUCAGCGAAGUGGACAUAAGAUUCGUUCUUCAGCUGCCUUUCCAAACACCUGUUUCUGAAAGCAGUGAAACUAUUUCAUCAGUCAAAUUCCCUAAUUAAUUGGCUUAAGGAGCUUUUGCAUCCUCCUUGUUAGAGAUGUGUUUGCUCCUUCCCCAGACUCUAUAUUUUAAAAUGUCUGAACUGCUUCAAAAUUAGGAUAUAUUAUUCUCCCCCACCACACAGAGGGAGGACUUAGGAAGUGCUUUUCAGAUUUUGAUUUAUUAAAGACCAAACUAUUUGUAUUUCUCACCAGGGAGUAUUUAUAUAUAAAUCUCCCCUUAUUAAGUAGUUUUGGAUAAAAACAUCUCUAAAAACAGCCAAAAGUGUCCAUUAAGCAGAAAUACACCUCAGUAACACAUAUGCGCAUUUAAUAAUUUAUUCGUCUACUUCCCCGACAGUGAAUUGGCACCAACACAUAGCUCAUUCUGCCUCAGUAAAACCAUUACCUCUGAUUUUUACUCCAAUCUAACAGUAACCACCCGAGGCCAGGGACAUGGUAUAACUGUCUCCUGGCCUGACCAUGGCAUUCCUGUGCAUUCAUGUGAUCUGAUUUCUAUUUGUGAGCUAAUUCUAUGGGCUGCUGGUUUCUUCGGAGGAAAAAAAAAAGUUGUUCUUUUCCUGUACUUCUUUCUACAUUUUUAAAUGGUGCUAUAACUCCUAAGAAUAGUUUCAUUUUCCUUAUAAAACGGGUUAACUGGACUAUACGAUAUUUUCCUUCCUUUUUUGCCUCACGCCUUGCUUUUCCAGCAAGUGGCCUCUGAGAACACACAAACCAGAUGUGGUUUAAAGAUUUGUAAUUUUUAACUCUUUUUUUAUACCCAAGAGCAGCAUUUUUGGGGAAAAGAAGAAAAACAAUAAGCAAGGAAGAAUCUUUCAAUCUCCUAUAAGAUGUAGAGAAGGUCAAAGAAUGGCCUCCCAUGUAUAUAAUUUUAUCCUGACCAUCAAUCCACAACUUUUGGUAAAAAAAAUUCAUUUUUUAAGUUGACAAUUCAUAUGUGAACUAUCUUAGAAGGGAAGUUGCAAGAAUAUACACAAACGCUCACAUGUAUCCAAUGGGUAAAUCACCAACGGAAGUAGAUCUCAUGUUUCAUAUAAGGUAAAACUGUUACUAAAAUUAGAAAUAUUUAUCAACAAACUUAAAGUGUGUCUAUGUGACUGUGAAGACUAUUGUGAAAAUAUGCAAUGUCGUAAGUACAAUGUCAUAAAAUACACAAGAUUAGACAGUCCAAAGCAAGAUUAUCAUUAACAUAUUUCUAUAUAAAGAUUUUCUAUAAUGAAUUUUAAUAAAAUCACCUUUAGCCUUGUGCCACCUGUUUGCAUUGAGAAAUAUUCAAAGAGAGAGGAUCAGGCUAAGAGUUAUUUAUCUGAGCAUAUUGUGUUUCAGUCCACAAUAUGCUUACUAUAAGAACACAGGAGACUUUAUUUCUCUUAGGAAAAUGUAUGGUUGUCCUAAGCAACUACAUUCUUUAUGUCAUAUAAAUAUGUAAAAUUGUGAAAUUGAUUGUGUUCUUCUCUUUGUUUAAACAAUUAGGGAAUUUGGAUACAUCUGUGACCACCUCUGACAACUGUGCCUAUGUCUAGCAUUUGCAAAUGUUACUUAUUCCUUAGUUGUGUUUUCAUUUUUCUAUCCUUUCUUUCCCUUUGCCUGAUUUCUUCUCUAUUGGUUUUAUUCUGUUGUAUCAUAUGUAUUUUGGUUAGCCAGCUCAAAUCCAUUUUUUAAAAAAGGUAAGGAUUUAAGGGGACUGGAAAAAAACACAACCAUUUGCCAGCAAAAAUAAUUUCUCAUUGAAUAUAUAAACACCCUCAUUUGUGAUUCAUGACUAUGUGCAACAGUCUGUGUUUUUUUUCCUUCAAAGGAGCCAGUUGCAUCAAAUGUAGUUAAUUUUAAAGAGGAAAACACUUCAAAUGAAAUCUAAAGAGCUCUGUGCCUGAAUGGGGGAGCAGUGGAUAUAUUAUAAAUGGAAGAUCUGUUUUUUUAAAGAUAGUUCAUUUGUAACAUGAUGUUAAAUGGACAUUUCAGCUGAAGCGUGAAGACUCUAGGCCAGGUAUGUCAAAGUGAAAGGGCAGACCCCACCAUCCAUAACUUGCAGGAAAGGAAGUGGGGGAAACCAAGGGUAAUGAGUCCUAAAUUCCUUGCCAUCUCAGAAAUGGAAGGUUCCAUAGGCUAGAAGUUAAGAGAAUGAUCUUCACAUACAUUUUCUUUGGAGAGAGCUUUGCUGUCAGUGCCUCAUCUCCAUGACCUAAGAAAGCAGUUAUGGGGUAUUCUUCCCAUACUUUGGACUUAAAAAGGGGGCUUAGAAACCACAGUGAGAUACCACUUUACACCCACUAAGAUGGCUAUCAUCAAAAAGAUAAUAAAAAGUGUUGGUGACGAUGUAGAGAAAUUGGAACUCUUACACAAUGCAGAAAGGAAUAUAAAAUUGAGCAGCCUUUGUGGUGAAUAGUCGGGCAGUUCCUCAAAAAGACAAAUAUAAGAGUUAUCACACAACCCAGCACUCCUAGGUAUAUUCCACUCCUAGGUAUAUACCUAAGAGAAAUGAAAACAUAGGUGCACACAAAAACUUGUACACAAAUGUUCGUAGCAGUAAUACUCAUUAAAGCCAAAAAAUGAAAGCAAUCCAAAUGUCUACCAACUGAUUAAUGGGUAAAUAAUACAUUGUAAAUUUAUAAAUGGAAUAUUCUAUAACAAUAAAGAUAUUAAGUAUUGAUACAUGCUGCAACAUAAAUGAACCUUGUAAAGAAACCCAUUCACAACAAAUCAUAUAUUCCAUGAUUCCUUUUACAGCAAAUGUCCAGAAUAGGCAAAUCUACAGAGACAAAAAAAGAGAUUAUAGGUUGCCUAAGGCUAGGGGGAUAGGGACAAAUAAGGAAUAAAUACUAAUGGGUGUGAGAUUUCUUGUUGUGAUAAAAAAAAGUUCUAAAAUUAGAUUGUGGUGACGGUUGUACAAUUCUGUGAAUACACUAAAACCCACUGAACUGUACACUUAAAUGGGUGAAAUCUACGGUAUGUGAAUUUCAGCUCCAUAAGGCUGUUGUAGGAAAAUACCUUUUAAAUAGCUUAAUAUCUGGUUGAGGUGACAAAUGUUGAGUUACAGCUGGAAAGGAGGUGGGUGGAACGUGAAGGGCAAGAGGCAUCUGAAGGGCAAGAGGCAGAAUCAAGGGCUGCAGGUGGCUAAAAGUCAGCAGCAAGGAGUCUGAAAUCCUGUCCCUCAGGCCCAGCUGGAGAUGCGGGGAAGAACCCUCAGAGGAAGCUGAAGUGGAUGCCAAGAUGCUGGAUGGCUGUGGAAGGACUUGCAGGCAGCUGGUAUAGGGAUGCAUCUGCCCAGAUGAGAGAAACCAAUGUUACAUAAUGAUCACUUCGCUCAAACCAAAUGGACACCUCAUAUCAUGAAAUGAACGUGUACUUUCAAUGUGUUAAGGGACACUCCUUUUCUGUGGAUCAUCUCCUCAGUGCUGGUGACAAUGUGGUGUUGCUUUCAGAUGUCUGUGGACAGGCAUCAGCUCCGCAUGGGUGCCCAGGCACCACUCACACUUUGGUUUUCCUCAAGGAAAAUCAUAGAUCUGAACAGAGCAUUGUUAGUUGUCUUCUUUCCCUACAGAAUGUUUGAUUCAGACAUUUGCCAAAGUCUUGAAUAACGACACUGCCAUUUAUGGAGAAAGAUGCAAAGGUGCAACAUAAGGUCUCCUUUUCUAGCAGAUCUGUAGGGGACUCCUCAGCUUCCUCCCUAAGAUGGUACCACACAGAUAUGAUGCCAUGGGUGUUCGCUUUGCUCUUUUAGAGAAAGUAAGCAGGUCUUAUUACAAAAUUCAAGGAAGAGAGUGAAAAGGGGGGAUUUUCUUGACCAAGAGAGCUGUUUUCCUUUAAAUAAACAUCCUGAGGCAUGUGAAGGGGAGAGCCAACAUGUUGUUCCCACCCUCCAGUAGAUAACAAGAAGGGAAACUGCCUGUAUGCUAAGGUCUUCCAGUAAAGCUAACAUACCACAUCACAACCUCUGGGAAACCACCCACUGAAACAUCAGGGCUUACAAUUAGGUAUGAUAGGUUCCUAAUUAUAUAUUUUUUGGAAAAUAGUUACAAAUAUUUGGAUAGCACUGUGUUGCUCAUAAAGCACUUUCUUUAUUAUAUUAUUUUACUUCUCAUCAUAAGCACUUCUCAUAUUACCCUAAUUUCACAUGUAAGGAAAGCAAAACUCAGAAAGCCAUGAUUUAAAUAAAGUCAUACAACUUAAACGGAGCCAGACUUCAUCCAGGCCAUGUGACUCUGUAGAGUCGGUGUUAAUUAUCAUACUAUGCCUCCUCCCUCGUAGAAUGUGUUCUACGGUGCCUCCCAAACAAGUGUUUGGAAUAUUUCAUUGGCACCAGUCCUGGGAGCAGAUUUCCAACAGGCAAGUCAUUCAGGCACAUAUGUUGAUGCUCAUUUUCAGCCUCCUGAUUUUACAAAAAGGGAAACUUGCUUUUACAUACAAAAAGCAAUCAGAGCAGCUCUCUGGGGUCCCAUGAUGUCAGAAUGAGCAAAGAUGGUAACACAGAAGUCCAGAACUGAUGGGUACCAGGAUGCUUUGGUAAUUACAGGAAGUAGAGAAUAUUUCUGUCAAUCUUUGCAAUGUUAGGUUUCUUUAUGGUCAAAGUCCUAAGUAUAAAAGGAAUUGAGAACUAGGGCACUUGUCCUCUCGAACUCUGCUCUAAUGUAUACAGACAAAGUGAUAAAAAUGUAUUACUGAACAGUGUGGCCACAUCUCCACGAUUACCAUGAAGCGCAGGGUAUUUCUCAAGCAUCCUGGUUUCCUUCCACCUUAUUGUGCAAUUAACAAAAUACAUUUUAAAAAGAUCUUUCUCUUAGCCUGAAACAUCUCCUGAAGCAAUGCCCUUCCAACAUUCCCAAGUCCUCAGAUCAUGCAAAGUGACACUCUUUAUGGAGUAAAAUAGUCACUAUUCUACCGGUUUACUUCUUUUUAAUUUCAAAUAAUUAUUUGGUUUGGUCGGUUGAGUUUUUGAAGUAAGUCUAUCUAUGGCAUUUGUAAUUUUAUAGAUCUGAAGUCACUUGUUCAUGAAAAUACUUGUUGAACAUCUGUAGGGAGACUGUGGCUGUGACUGGAGAUAUAAAGAGCCAUGCUGCACGCUUUCAAGGACCACUUAGUGGAACAGGGGAGGCACACAUGGAAACCAUUAGCUGUAACAGUAUGUCAUAAACAGUGCAGAAUAGAUAAGACAAAGAGCUUCGGACGCCCAGUGGAAAAAUGGAGAUCAGGGAGAGGUGACUAUAGGGAAGAGAUUAAGAGGAUUCUGGAAUGAGGGGGCUGGGGCUCAAAUCUUAAAUGCUGUCAUUUACUGGCUGUGUGACUCUGGGCAAGUAACUGACCUCUCUGUGCUACCAUUUCCUCAGUGAUGAAAUGGAAGGAUAACUGCAUCUACCUCAUGAGUUGUUAUAGGUGUUAUAGUUAGCCCAUAGAAGGCACAGAAGAUGGUUUCUGGAAUACAGUGAGGGUUAUAGAAGCGUCAGAUAUUAUGAUAAUUCUAGGUCCAACUCUCAGUAGUCAUGAGUGGAUAUCUGGUUCCCUAUUAUCUGCAACUUAAAAUACACAGGAACUCCUGUCUAUAUCCCAUCAGACAGCAGCGUAUCAAGUGGCCUCCUCCUGCUGCAAGACAGGCUGAGAAUUUGAAUGUCUUACUUUUCAGCUUUUAAAUUGGAGGAAGACAAAAGGAAUGGUAGCUGAGGAAACCAGACCCUGACUGGUAGAAUUGUUUUCCUAGAGUAUAAAUUUUCUUAAAAUCAGCCAAAUGGAGAAAAAGGGACAAAGAUGAAGUAGCAACAACAAGCCCAGUGCUUUAAUACUUUUGCACUUAGAAAUAAUUUGUGUAUAGUUGCUAUUUUACGUAUUUAUCACAUUUAAGAUUGGGUGAUUUAUGUGGAUUUGUUAUUUUAAUUUGAAACUUAUAAGAAAAAUCUACUGUUGUAUAAACAAUAUUGUAAUAUUUAUGAGAACUUAAGGGCCACCAUACUUGCAUAUUCAACUUAUUAUAUUUAUGUAGAUUUCUCUAGAACUUGGGGCCAUCUAAGUUGCUGGAGUAUUGAAAAGCUUCAAAACAGAAAUGAAUAUGUUAAAUUUAUGAUUGCUGUUUAAAUAUUUAAUGGAAUUUAAUUAACUAAGUUGUAAAGGUCCUUUUGAAAGUGGUUGCUACACUAUAUCACAUUUAUAAAUAGAAUAAAUUGGAGUUAAGCUUUAGAGCUCAAGAAAAAGGGUUCUGAAAUUUGCAACUUAAAUGCAUUGAAUAUUCAUUUAAAAAUACAAAAGUUCACAUAAAUUAUCUUUUCUUUACAUGAAACACCCAGAAAGACACUAAAUCUUACAUCUGAAGCAACUAGUGGAAAACAAGCCUUGAUUUAAAACCAUCAAAUCCAAUUCCAUGGCUUACUAUGAAACACUAUUCGUCCUGCUCUCGCUUUAACAAAUAUCACCCUGUAAAACUGUUUUCCAAAAGUCUCCAGUGACCUCUAAGUUGAUAAACCCAACAGCCUUUAAUCCUCCAUCUUCCUCAAACUCAGUGCACCACACUAUUCAAAAUACCCCAGUGCUCUCUUCUCUCAACACUAUCCCAACCUUGUAAGCAGUUCAGCUUCCGAUGAUGUUUUCUCUGGAUCAUCAUUCACCAUUCACAAAAUAAAUCUCACUUCCCUCAGGUCAUCUGCUCUAAGCCCUUCUCUCCGGACAUUCAUUAUCCUUGAAUGUGUCUACUUCUUACAUUUAACCUCUAUUCUAAAAUCCCUGGAAGUGGGUUUUAAAUAGCUGUGGAAAUCAAGGCUUGUACUUCCCAUCACUUUCUAAACACAUUUUCCCAAAUUUCCAGCUGAAAUCUCAAACAUGUAAUUGUUCAUUACCUUUCUAGUCAAAAAUAUUUCAGUUGAUGUUUCCUCUCCAUGAUCAUGGCACCUGUGUCCUUCCAAUGACUAAGCUUAGCAUCCCCAUCAUCACUGCUUACACACCUAGAAGCAAUUGGCUGGAAGUCCCAGUGACACUGCAAUUCAUUCCUCAACAGCCCUUUCCAUUUCAUUUGUUAUUACUUUGAUUCACAUCCUCUGAAAUGGUCUCUCCACUUCUCUUCUCUACCUAGUCUAUUAAUCAUGAACUCUGUUUUCAGAAGCAAUCCUUUAUAGAAUACCUAGAAAUGAUUUUAAAAAAUAAACUUCACAGCGGCUCAUGCCUAUACUCCCAGCACUUUGGGAGGCCAAGGCAGGCGGAUCACCUGAGGUCAGGAGUUCAAGACCAGCCUGGCUAACAUGGUGAAACUCUGUUUCUACUAAAAAUACAAAAAAUUAGCCGGGCAUGGUGGCACGUGCCUGUAAUCCCACCUAAUUGUGAGGCUGAGGCAGGAGAAUCGCUUGAACCCAGGAGACGGAGGUUGCAGUGAGCCAAGAUCAUGCCCUUGUACUCCAGCGGGGGCAACAAGAGCAAAACUCUGUCUCAAAAAAAUAAAUAAAUAAACUUCAGAGCCUCCAUGUUGUCUAAUAGAGUACAAAGGAGGCAAGGCCCUCCAUGAUGGCGCUAACUUUACAUCCACCCAUCUGGACAUGCUUUCUCUCUUUUCUAUAUAUGUAAGGUCUACUUUCACUUCAAGACCUACAUGAGUGCUCCUUGAAUACUUCUCUCAUGCUUUCAAUUGUGAAACGCUCUUUCCUUUUCUGAACUACCUGAACAUAUGUAUCAUAAGUCCUUCUUUUGUGAUUAUUAUAUCACAGAAAAGAGAAAGAGGAGAUUAAAGAAUUUUAAAGAAAAAGGCAAGCAAGAAACAGAGAAAGGAAGGAAGGAUGGAAGAGGAGGGAGGCAGAAAAAGAGAGAGGGAAGGGUUAAUGGACAUAACUGAUGGUUUGCCUGAGACAGGCCUUGGGAGAAUCUUUCCCAUUUGUUACCCCACUUGAUACUUACAACAACCACUCCUAUAUGUCUUACAAUAAUCCACAUUGUUCAGAAGAGGGCACAGAUCA